rfam:Glycine max cultivar Williams 82 chromosome 11, whole genome shotgun sequence.
UACCCAUUGUGCUAUUGGCUCGGUUCAUUCAGACAUAACAACCACCAUAUUCCAAUGUUGUCAAUCUUUGAUUGAGCCGUGCCAAUAUCUCAUUGCUAUUU